CUGGCGGCACGCUUAACACAUGCAAGUCGAACGAGCGAAAGAGUGCUUGCACUCUCAAGCUAGUGGCGGACGGGUGAGUAACACGUGAGCAAUCUGCCUUUCGGUGUGGGAUACCAUUUGGAAACGGAUGUUAAUACCGCAUAACAUAACGAAGCCGCAUGACUUUGUUAUCAAAGAUUUAUUGCCGGAAGAUGAGCUCGCGUCUGAUUAGGUAGUUGGUGAGGUAACGGCCCACCAAGCCGACGAUCAGUAGCCGGACUGAGAGGUUAAACGGCCACAUUGGGACUGAGACACGGCCCAGACUCC
rnacentral:rRNA from 1 species